UCAUAGCGGAGAAAAGAAACUAACCAGGAUUCCCUUAGUAACUGCGAGUGAAGAGGGAAAAGCUCAAAUUUAAAAUCUGAUAGUCAGUUUGGCUGUCCGAGUUGUAAAUUAGAGAAGCGUUAUCCGCGCUGGACCGUGCAAAAGUCUCUUGGAAAGGAGCAUCAUAGAGGGUGACAAUCCCGUCUUUGGCACGGACUACCAGGGCAUUUGUGWUGCGYUYUCAAAGAGUSGAGUUGKUUGGGAAUGCAGCUCUAAAUGGGUGGUAAAUUCCAUCUAAAGCUAAAUAUUGGCGAGAGACCGAUAGCGCACAAGUACCGUGAGGGAAAGAUGAAAAGGACUUUGAAAAGAGAGUUAAACAGUACGUGAAAUUGUUGAAAGGGAAACGCUUGAAGUCAGUCGCGUCCUUCAGAAAUCAACUUGACUUUGGUUGAGUGCACUUUCUGUUUGGACGGGUCAGCAUCAAUUUUGACCGCUGGAAAAGGGCUUGGGGAAAGUGACAUCCUUUGUAGAUGUGUUAUAGACCCGGGUACAUAUACAGUGGUUGGGAUUGAGGAACGCAGCGCGUUAACUGGGGAAUUUUCCCACAUCAGCGCUUAGGAUGCUUGGCUUAAUGGCUUUAAUCGACCCGUCUUGAAACACGGACCAAGGAGUCUAACAUGCAUGCGAGUGUUAGGGUGGUAAACCCUUGCGCSUAAUGAAAGUGAAAGUUGAGAGCCCCUUUUGGGGUGCACUGACGCCCAGACCUGACCUAUUGAGACGGACCUGCGGUUGAGCAUGUAUGUUGGGACCCGAAAGAUGGUGAACUAUGCCUGAAUAGGGUGAAGCCAGAGGAAACUCUGGUGGAGGCUCGUAGCGAUUCUGACGUGCAAAUCGAUCGUCGAAUUUGGGUAUAGGG
rnacentral:rRNA from 1 species